rnacentral:rRNA from 1 species
UACAGAGGGUGCAAGCGUUAAUCGGAAUUACUGGGCGUAAAGGGCUCGUAGGUGGCCAACUAAGUCAUACGUGAAAUCCCUCGGCUUAACCGGGGAACUGCGUCUGAUACUGGAAGGCUUGAAUCCGGGAGAGGGAUGCGGAAUUCCAGGUGUAGCGGUGAAAUGCGUAGAUAUCUGGAGGAACACCGGUGGCGAAGGCGGCAUCCUGGACCGGCAUUGACGCUGAGGCGCGAAAGCCAGGGGAGCAAACGGG